rnacentral:lncRNA from 1 species
UCCCAUCCCGUACGUAUCAGAGCCUUAGACAUUUGAGCCACCACCUAUUACUCAGGAUCACUUGCAAGUUACCCAUAGGAAGGGCAACAUUUUCAAGCAGAAGGGGUGAGAUUCACAACAAUAAAUAUAGAUAAUAAAUUCAUCAAUUGAAUCUAACACCCUAUCAUAAUAAUAAUUCAUCAAUAUAUAAAUAUAUCAUCAUUAACGACAUCAACAACAAAUGGUAAUUAAAACCAACAACGUCGACUCAUGCAACUACUCAACGACUCCACUAAGACUCCUCAACAAUGCACAUGCAUGUGGUACCAUAUUCAGGGCAGAAACCCUCACCGCUAAUUAAAUGGUUAAAGCAUUCAUUCAGGACAUAAGUCCUCACCGCUAAUCACCGCUUUGAACAACAAAGUGUUCCACCGCUUUGAACGACAAGGC